AUACGGAGGGGGUUAGCGUUGUUCGGAAUUACUGGGCGUAAAGCGCACGUAGGCGGACUGGAAAGUUGGGGGUGAAAUCCCGGGGCCCAACCCCGGAACUGCCUCCAAAACUUCCAAUCUAGAGAUCGAGAGAGGUGAGUGGAAUUCCAAGUGUAGAGGUGAAAUUCGUAGAUAUUUGGAGGAACACCAGUGGCGAAGGCGGCUCACUGGCUCGAUACUGACGCUGAGGUGCGAAAGCGUGGGGAGCAAACAGGAUUAGAAACCCCAGUAGUCC
rnacentral:rRNA from 1 species